rnacentral:rRNA from 1 species
CCUACGGGAGGCUGCAGUGAGGAAUAUUGCUCAAUGGGCGCGAGCCUGAUCCAGCCACGUAGCGUGAAGGAUGACUGCCCUACGGGUUGUAAACGUCUUUUAUAAAGGAAUACAGUGAGGCACGUGUGCCUUUUUGUAUGUACUUUAUGAAUAAGGAUCGGCUAACUCCGUGCCAUCAGCCGCGGUAAUACGGAGGAUCCGAGCGUUAUCCGGAUUUAUUGGGUUUAAAGGGAGCGUAGAUGGGUUGUUAAGUCAGUUGUGAAAGUUUGCGGCUCAACCGUAAAAUUGCAAUUGAUACUGGCAGUCUUGAGUACAGUUGAGGUAGGCGGAAUUCGUGGUGUAGCGGUGAAAUGCUUAGAUAUCACGAAGAACUCCGAUUGCGAAGGCAGCUUACUAAACUGCCACUGACAUUGAUGCUCGAAAGUGUGGGUAGCAAACAGGAUUAGAUACCCUUGUAGUC